ACAGGGUGACAGGUGGUGCAUAGUUGUCGUCAGCUCGUGUCGUGAGAUGUUGGGUUAAGUCCCGCAACGAGCGCAACCCCUAUUGUUAGUUGCCAUCAUUCAGUUGGGCACUCUAGCGAGACUGCCGGUAAUAAACCGGAGGAAGGUGGGAUGACGUCAAAUCAUCAUGCCCCUUAUGACCUGGGCUACACACGUGCUACAAUGGUUGGUACAACGAGUUGCGAGUCGGUGACGGCGAGCUAAUCUCUUAAAGCCAAUCUCAGUUCGGAUUGUAGGCUGCAACUCGCCUACAUGAAGUCGGAAUCGCUAGUAAUCGCGGAUCAGCACGCCGCGGUGAAUACGUUCCCGGGCCUU
rnacentral:rRNA from 1 species